rnacentral:tRNA from 3 species
GAAGGUUCUUGUAGUUGAAUA